CCUACGGGAGGCAGCAGUGGGGAAUUUUGGACAAUGGGCGCAAGCCUGAUCCAGCCAUGCCGCGUGAGUGAAGAAGGCCUUCGGGUUGUAAAGCUCUUUCGGUAGGAACGAAAUGGUUCGUGCUAAUACCACGGACUGAUGACGGUACCUGAAGAAGAAGCACCGGCUAACUACGUGCCAGCAGCCGCGGUAAUACGUAGGGUGCAGGCGUUAAUCGGAAUUACUGGGCGUAAAGCGUGCGCAGGCGGUUUCUUAAGUCAGAUGUGAAAGCCCCGGGCUUAACCUGGGAACUGCGUUUGAAACUGGGAGACUAGAGUGUGGCAGAGGGGGGUGGAAUUCCACGUGUAGCAGUGAAAUGCGUAGAUAUGUGGAGGAACACCGAUGGCGAAGGCAGCCCCCUGGGUUAACACUGACGCUCAUGCACGAAAGCGUGGGGAGCAAACAGGAUUAGAUACCCUGGUAGUCCACGCCCUAAACUAUGUCAACUGGUUGUCGGGGGAUUAACUCCCUUGGUAACGAAGCUAACGCGUGAAGUUGACCGCCUGGGGGNGGACGGCGCGAGUAAACGUACUAAUAGAGUUAGAGCGUUGAGAGNGCGAGGCGACGACGAGGGAGAGG
rnacentral:rRNA from 1 species